GGUUAAGCGACUAAGCGUACACGGUGGAUGCCCUGGCAGUCAGAGGCGAUGAAGGACGUGCUAAUCUGCGAUAAGCGUCGGUAAGGUGAUAUGAACCGUUAUAACCGGCGAUUUCCGAAUGGGGAAACCCAGUGUGAUUCGUCACACUAUCAUUAACUGAAUCCAUAGGUUAAUGAGGCGAACCGGGGAACUGAAACAUCUAAGUACCCCGAGGAAAAGAAAUCAACCGAGAUUCCCCCAGUAGCGGCGAGCGAACGGGGAGCAGCCCAGAGCCUGAAUCAGUGUGUGUGUUAGUGGAAGCGUCUGGAAAGGCGUGCGAUACAGGGUGACAGCCCCGUACACAAAAAUGCACAUAUUGUGAGCUCGAUGAGUAGGGCGGGACACGUGGUAUCCUGUCUGAAUAUGGGGGACCAUCCUCCAAGGCUAAAUACUCCUGACUGACCGAUAGUGAACCAGUACCGUGAGGGAAAGGCGAAAAGAACCCCGGCGAGGGGAGUGAAAAAGAACCUGAAACCGUGUACGUACAAGCAGUGGGAGCACGCUUAGGCGUGUGACUGCGUACCUUUUGUAUAAUGGGUCAGCGACUUAUAUUCUGUAGCAAGGUUAACCGAAUAGGGGAGCCGAAGGGAAACCGAGUCUUAACUGGGCGUUAAGUUGCAGGGUAUAGACCCGAAACCCGGUGAUCUAGCCAUGGGCAGGUUGAAGGUUGGGUAACACUAACUGGAGGACCGAACCGACUAAUGUUGAAAAAUUAGCGGAUGACUUGUGGCUGGGGGUGAAAGGCCAAUCAAACCGGGAGAUAGCUGGUUCUCCCCGAAAGCUAUUUAGGUAGCGCCUCGUGAAUUCAUCUCCGGGGUAGAGCACUGUUUCGGCAAGGGGGUCAUCCCGACUUACCAACCCGAUGCAAACUGCGAAUACCGGAGAAUGUUAUCACGGGAGACACACGGCGGGUGCUAACGUCCGUCGUGAAGAGGGAAACAACCCAGACCGCCAGCUAAGGUCCCAAAGUCAUGGUUAAGUGGGAAACGAUGUGGGAAGGCCCAGACAGCCAGGAUGUUGGCUUAGAAGCAGCCAUCAUUUAAAGAAAGCGUAAUAGCUCACUGGUCGAGUCGGCCUGCGCGGAAGAUGUAACGGGGCUAAACCAUGCACCGAAGCUGCGGCAGCGACGCUUAUGCGUUGUUGGGUAGGGGAGCGUUCUGUAAGCCUGCGAAGGUGUGCUGUGAGGCAUGCUGGAGGUAUCAGAAGUGCGAAUGCUGACAUAAGUAACGAUAAAGCGGGUGAAAAGCCCGCUCGCCGGAAGACCAAGGGUUCCUGUCCAACGUUAAUCGGGGCAGGGUGAGUCGACCCCUAAGGCGAGGCCGAAAGGCGUAGUCGAUGGGAAACAGGUUAAUAUUCCUGUACUUGGUGUUACUGCGAAGGGGGACGGAGAAGGCUAUGUUGGCCGGGCGACGGUUGUCCCGGUUUAAGCGUGUAGGCUGGUUUUCCAGGCAAAUCCGGAAAACUAAGGCUGAGGCGUGAUGACGAGGCACUACGGUGCUGAAGCAACAAAUGCCCUGCUUCCAGGAAAAGCCUCUAAGCAUCAGGUAACAUCAAAUCGUACCCCAAACCGACACAGGUGGUCAGGUAGAGAAUACCAAGGCGCUUGAGAGAACUCGGGUGAAGGAACUAGGCAAAAUGGUGCCGUAACUUCGGGAGAAGGCACGCUGAUAUGUAGGUGAAGUCCCUCGCGGAUGGAGCUGAAAUCAGUCGAAGAUACCAGCUGGCUGCAACUGUUUAUUAAAAACACAGCACUGUGCAAACACGAAAGUGGACGUAUACGGUGUGACGCCUGCCCGGUGCCGGAAGGUUAAUUGAUGGGGUUAGCGCAAGCGAAGCUCUUGAUCGAAGCCCCGGUAAACGGCGGCCGUAACUAUAACGGUCCUAAGGUAGCGAAAUUCCUUGUCGGGUAAGUUCCGACCUGCACGAAUGGCGUAAUGAUGGCCAGGCUGUCUCCACCCGAGACUCAGUGAAAUUGAACUCGCUGUGAAGAUGCAGUGUACCCGCGGCAAGACGGAAAGACCCCGUGAACCUUUACUAUAGCUUGACACUGAACAUUGAGCCUUGAUGUGUAGGAUAGGUGGGAGGCUUUGAAGUGUGGACGCCAGUCUGCAUGGAGCCGACCUUGAAAUACCACCCUUUAAUGUUUGAUGUUCUAACGUGGACCCGUAAUCCGGGUUGCGGACAGUGUCUGGUGGGUAGUUUGACUGGGGCGGUCUCCUCCUAAAGAGUAACGGAGGAGCACGAAGGUUGGCUAAUCCUGGUCGGACAUCAGGAGGUUAGUGCAAUGGCAUAAGCCAGCUUGACUGCGAGCGUGACGGCGCGAGCAGGUGCGAAAGCAGGUCAUAGUGAUCCGGUGGUUCUGAAUGGAAGGGCCAUCGCUCAACGGAUAAAAGGUACUCCGGGGAUAACAGGCUGAUACCGCCCAAGAGUUCAUAUCGACGGCGGUGUUUGGCACCUCGAUGUCGGCUCAUCACAUCCUGGGGCUGAAGUAGGUCCCAAGGGUAUGGCUGUUCGCCAUUUAAAGUGGUACGCGAGCUGGGUUUAGAACGUCGUGAGACAGUUCGGUCCCUAUCUGCCGUGGGCGCUGGAGAACUGAGGGGGCUGCUCCUAGUACGAGAGGACCGGAGUGGACGCAUCACUGGUGUUCGGGUUGUCAUGCCAAUGGCACUGCCCGGUAGCUAAAUGCGGAAGAGAUAAGUGCUGAAAGCAUCUAAGCACGAAACUUGCCCCGAGAUGAGUUCUCCCUGACUCCUUGAGAGUCCUGAAGGAACGUUGAAGACGACGACGUUGAUAGGCCGGGUGUGUAAGCGCAGCGAUGCGUUGAGCUAACCGGUACUAAUGAACCGUGAGGCUUAACCUU
rnacentral:rRNA from 1 species